UCUCCUGGAAACGGGUGGUAAUGCCGGAUGCUCCGACUCCUCGCAUGGGGUGUCGGGAAAGAUUUCAUCGGUAUGGGAUGGGGUCGCGUCCUAUCAGGUAGUCGGCGGGGUAACGGCCCACCGAGCCUACGACGGGUAGCCGGCCUGAGAGGGCGACCGGCCACAUUGGGACUGAGAUACGGCCCAGACUCCUACGGGAGGCAGCAGUGGGGAAUAUUGCACAAUGGGCGCAAGCCUGAUGCAGCGACGCCGCGUGCGGGAUGACGGCCUUCGGGUUGUAAACCGCUUUUGAUCGGGAGCAAGCCUUCGGGUGAGUGUACCUUUCGAAUAAGCACCGGCUAACUACGUGCCAGCAGCCGCGGUAAUACGUAGGGUGCAAGCGUUAUCCGGAAUUAUUGGGCGUAAAGGGCUCGUAGGCGGUUCGUCGCGUCCGGUGUGAAAGUCCAUCGCUUAACGGUGGAUCUGCGCCGGGUACGGGCGGGCUGGAGUGCGGUAGGGGAGACUGGAAUUCCCGGUGUAACGGUGGAAUGUGUAGAUAUCGGGAAGAACACCAAAG
rnacentral:rRNA from 1 species